ensembl:lncRNA
GGGAAGGGUCUUUGGUUGGAGAUCUCUCCCUUGUGGAGUUUGUCUUGUGAGCCUAGUUCUUCAGAGAUGGAUAUACUCUGCAUGAGCAGUGAGUACCUGUGUGCAUCUGGCUUUGGGCAGCUGCUGAAGAGACAAACACUACUUACAUGUGCAUGCAUACAGACAAGAAGAUUGUUGUUGCUACACAGCAGUGGGAGAAAAGAAAAUCAGCUGUUCAAAGAGGAAUGAAUGUGACUGGAAUUGUCCAAAUGCACAUACUUGUCCACUAGGAACCACACCUGUUUCUCCCCUUGAAAAAAACAGGUGGAGGAGAUGACUUGCUAUGAAUUUGUGCGACAAAAGCUUCAAUGGAAAAUAGAAUCUGGCUUUUUGCUGUUAGGGCUGUGGCCCUUUCCACUUAUCCACUGGUGUGACCUUACUGGGAGAGGACUUGAGACUUCCUAUGUCAAUGAAAUGCAUGGCUCCUGCUUGCUGCCUUCUUUCCCAUCCUUAGAGACUACCUGCCCCUCUACCCAGCCUCAGGCAGUAACGCCUACAGGGAUGACGCAUCUAGGCGACCCCCGUGCCAAUGACCAGGCAUUGGAAAUUCAGCUGUUCCUUGCAGGAUCUUACUGUGGUCUUUCCUGCCACAAAAAAUCAGACUGAACUGGGGGCUGACAUUAUCCAGAGCUAGAAUAAAACAUUUUAGCAAUAAAAUCUUCCUGCAGAACAUAUAUAAAUACCAUUCACAAUCCUUCCUCUGGGCACCAUAACAUAUACAUCUACCCCAUAUGAAUGGACAGGGAAGUAUUUCCUCAUUCUGCACUCCAAAUCUCCAUGAUGCACACAGGUAUCAGGCUGAUGGACAAUGUCUCAAAUUCUUUUGCACUGUCCUCUCCUAUGAACAUUUCAGAAAAAAGAUUUUGUGAUAUAUAAUUGUUCUGUAAGUUUUCAGAGUGCAAAGUAACAAAAAAAAUAUUGUGUUUGCCCAUACAGAGGCAUAAUGAAUACAAUAAAGAAGGAGGUGCACAUUGUGUGAUUUCUAAACAUCAGUAGUGUAGCUGCAAGAAUACAACACAUUAGAGCAUAACAGUUCCACUGAAAGCAAGUUGUUU